GCGCCCGUCCCGCCGCCCCCGCCCGAUUAGAUACCCGGGUAGUCCCAGCCGUAAACGAUGCUCGCUAGGUGUCUGGGAUGGUGCGACCGUUUCAGGUGCCGCAGGGAAGCCGUGAAGCGAGCCACCUGGGAAGUACGGCCGCAAGGCUGAAACUUAAAGGAAUUGGCGGGGGAGCACUACAACGGGUGGAGCCUGCGGUUUAAUUGGACCCAACGCCGGAAAACUCAC
rnacentral:rRNA from 1 species